rnacentral:snoRNA from 1 species
AAACCAUGGUGAGGGCACCUUCUCAGUAAAUCUUUGCAUCUCUCUCAUGCAUCGUAAAGUGUUUUUAAAUCCAUAUGCACAAAAGAAGAGAUAUCAUUACAUAAUUU